UACGAAGGGGGCUAGCGUUGCUCGGAAUCACUGGGCGUAAAGGGUGCGUAGGCGGGUCUUUAAGUCAGGGUGAAAUCCUGGAGCUCAACUCCAGAACUGCCUUUGAUACUGAAGAUCUUGAGUUCGGGAGAGGUGAGUGGAACUGCGAGUGUAGAGGUGAAAAUUCGUAGAUAUUCGCAAGAACACCAGUGGCGAAGGCGGCUCACUGGCCCGAUACUGACGCUGAGGCACGAAAGCGUGGGGAGCAACAGG
rnacentral:rRNA from 1 species